rnacentral:rRNA from 1 species
GAUGAACGCUGGCGGCGUGCCUAAUACAUGCAAGUCGAGCGAACGGACGAGAGGCUUGCUUCUCUGAUGUUAGCGGCGGACGGGUGAGUAACACGUGGAUAACCUACCUAUAAGACUGGGAUAACUUCGGGAAACCGGAGCUAAUACCGGAUGAUAUUUUGAACCGCAUGGUUCAAAAGUGAAAGACGGUCUUGCCGUCACUUAUAGAUGGAUCCGCGCUGCAUUAGCUAGUUGGUAAGGUAACGGCUUACCAAGGCAACGAUGCAUAGCCGACCUGAGAGGGUGAUCGGCCACACUGGAACUGAGACACGGUCCAGACUCCUACGGGAGGCAGCAGUAGGGAAUCUUCCGCAAUGGGCGAAAGCCUGACGGAGCAACGCCGCGUGAGUGAUGAAGGUCUUCGGAUCGUAAAACUCUGUUAUUAGGGAAGAACAUAUGUGUAAGUAACUGUGCACAUCUUGACGGUACCUAAUCAGAAAGCCACGGCUAACUACGUG